rnacentral:rRNA from 1 species
GGUGGGCANUNUAGAUCGACUGCCGGUGACAAACCGGAGGAAGGCGGGGAUGACGUCAAAUCAUCAUGCCCCUUAUGACCUGGGCUACACACGUACUACAAUGGCCGGUACAACGGGCUGCGAAGUCGCGAGACGGAGCCAAUCCUACCAAAGCCGGUCUCAGUUCGGAUUGCAGGCUGCAACUCGCCUGCAUGAAGUCGGAAUUGCUAGUAAUCGCGGAUCAGCAUGCCGCGGUGAAUACGUUCCCGGGUCUUGUACACACCGCCCGUCACACCACGAGAGUUUACAACACCCGAAGCCGGUGGGNUAACCCGCAAGGGAGCCAGC